GUAUUACUUCCUCCGUCCGGAAAUACUUGUCCUUGAAAUGGAUAAAAUGGAUGUAUCUAUAAUUAAAAUAAGUCUAGAUACAACCAUUUCGAGGACUAAGUAUUUCCGGACGGAGGGAGUACUAC
rfam:Triticum aestivum genome assembly, contig: Triticum_aestivum_CS42_TGACv1_scaffold_224833_3B